UACCACUGGCUGCGAAGCAAGCAUGGCCAAGACGGUUCACUGUGCCCUCUUGGGCAGCCGUGCACUACUGCAGCUGAACUAGUGGUUGUCUGUGAUGUCGACAGCCCUUUGCAGUGUGUCCUGCCUACUUCUGUACGAGAAUGUGGUAGCCCAGCAGGUGAUGUGCACUCGAAGCGGUCCCACACAAGAUGCCGGCAGUGAACAGUGGCGUGGCAUGUCUGGGUUGUGCAUAGAAAACGUGUGGCAUGCUUUACAAUGGUGCUACACCACACAUGCUGCCGAGCAGAUAGUUGAAGGUGCUCAUCCCGACAGGAGUGUCGGUGAUAUCACCAUCAUCAGCCUAUUUUAUGUCCACUGCAGGACGAAGGCCCCUCCCGAUGAUCUCCAAUUUGCCCUGUCCUGCACAAGCCGAUUCCAUUUUACGCCUUCAAAUUCCUUAAUUUCAUCACUUAACUUCAACAACCCUCUGCCAUCCUUGGCCAUGUUUCCCAUAUCUUGAUACCCAUUCAGUCACUCUAGCUGACCAUCAGUUACCUGUCCUUCGUAUUACAUGACCAAAAGAGGUCCAUUUUGUCUCCUAAAGGGAGACGCGGAUCUUGAAAUGGUAAAAAAAAAUUGCAAAAAAAGUCUAUUUUUGAAAAAAAAAUGCACUAUCGCAAAGUUUAAACAUUUAAUAAUCUCCCUCUGGUACAUUAAGCGGAGCCCAAAAGAACUGUCACGAGCACGCCGACACAGACUGCGCCCGAAUGUGAAAAUCGAGACCCAUCCAAAGACUGGCGAGAAGGAAAGCGGAGCCAAGCAAAAAACCACAGCGACAGCUUCCAGCUUCAGUCCUCACUUGAUAGCGAACCAGAGAAGAAGGAAUUUACGUAUACUCAUGUAAUCUU
rnacentral:lncRNA from 1 species